GGGGUUGUGGCUCAGUGGUAGAGCGCUUACCUCUCAUGUGUGAGAUCCUGGGUUCGAUCCUCAGCACCA
rfam:Ictidomys tridecemlineatus contig122092, whole genome shotgun sequence.